rnacentral:snRNA from 1 species
AUCGCUUCUCGGCCUUUUGGCUAAGAUCAAGUGUAGUAUCUGUUAUAUGAGAAAUACCAAAUACACAUAAAGAGCAAAAUAAAGCAUAGAUUUCAGGAAGUAGAGAGAUAGAUCGUUU